UGGAGAACAAGGAUCAGUUCACAAAGACGAAAAUAUGCUGUCAAGCAGCUGUGGGAGCUGACCCUGUACCCAACGGCCUAAGAGCUCUACCUGUCAUCUACGCCAUCACCAUGGGCAUCAGUCUUUUCUCCGUCAUGUUUACAGGGGCACCACUGCUGAGCCCCAUUUAGAGGAGCGAUGGAGUGACUGGUGCAGCUAUGGAGUGGGUGAUGGAGAAGUGGAAAGGAGCGAUGGGAGAGGAACAAUGGAGUGGCUGAUGCAGUGAUGGAAAGGAGCGAUGGAGU